CUGUGACAUAGAAGAAAAAAGUUCACAUCCAAAAUACAAGGAUUUUAAAAAAGCCCUGACAGAAAUAUAAAACAAGAAAACCUGGACAAAGAAAAACUGGGCAGCUCUCGGAGGGGUCGGCUGAACUCUUCCAGCUCCCGGACAUCCUUCUUCUCGGGGAGCCCCGAGUAACCCAGACCCCGGCACUCCAGAAUGGUCUUCAGCUUCUUGAAGCUCAGAG